CCUCCAAGGCUAAAUACUCCUGACUGACCGAUAGUGAACCAGUACCGUGAGGGAAAGGCGAAAAGAACCCCGGCGAGGGGAGUGAAAAAGAACCUGAAACCGUGUACGUACAAGCAGUGGGAGCACGCUUAGGCGUGUGACUGCGUACCUUUUGUAUAAUGGGUCAGCGACUUAUAUUCUGUAGCAAGGUUAACCGAAUAGGGGAGCCGAAGGGAAACCGAGUCUUAACUGGGCGUUAAGUUGCAGGGUAUAGACCCGAAA
rnacentral:rRNA from 1 species